UAGAGUUUGAUCCUGGCUCAGGACGAACGCUGGCGGCGUGCCUAAUACAUGCAAGUCGAACGCUGCUUAAGAAGAAACUUCGGUUUUUUCUUAAGCGGAGUGGCGGACGGGUGAGUAACACGUGGGGAACCUAUCCAUCAGCGGGGGAUAACACUUGGAAACAGGUGCUAAUACCGCAUAUGGCUUUUUUUCACCUGAAAGAAAGCUCAAAGGCGCUUUACAGCGUCACUGAUGGCUGGUCCCGCGGUGCAUUAGCCAGUUGGUGAGGUAACGGCUCACCAAAGCAACGAUGCAUAGCCGACCUGAGAGGGUGAUCGGCCACACUGGGACUGAGACACGGCCCAGACUCCUACGGGAGGCAGCAGUAGGGAAUCUUCGGCAAUGGACGCAAGUCUGACCGAGCAACGCCGCGUGAGUGAAGAAGGUUUUCGGAUCGUAAAGCUCUGUUGUCAGCAAAGAACAGGAGAAAGAGG
rnacentral:rRNA from 1 species